CACGGUGAGAUCACACACUACACCCAGUACAAACCUACAUUUUUUUUCAAACUUCCUUCUGCAACAGAGAAAAGGGGAAGUAAAUCAUGCAACUACUCUAGAAUGCCCACAGUCAGUACAGCAUGUUGUCCUCUCUGUGCAGGCGGAUCCUGAAGAUGGGGUUUCCUACGCCUCCGUCAGCUAUAGGACGACCAACAGCAAAGCCCUGGUUUGCGAUAAAGGUGAUGAUGAAGCAGUGACCUACGCCACUGUGAAAGCUUCCUCUUCUUCUGCUGGAGCCUCUGCUGAUCCCAGCAACCUCUACGCCACCGUCAACAAACCAAACAAAUAAGAGACCACAGUAUAGUUACAGCUCAUAUCAUCACACUUAUUUAAGUUUGUUUUUUUCACUCAUACUGUGUUGUAUUAUAAGAUUGUAUAUGCAGUCAAAAUCCUACAGAGUGUUUAAAAUAUAUUUAUAUUUUUGAGCAUAACUUGGCUUGGCAGCUGAGGUUGUUACUAUAUAUGAUAAUAUUGUAGUUUUGCAUUUCAGUUUUCACAUGAACAUGUGAGCAUGUUCUUUCUGUUGCAAUUAUUUUUAUGAUAAUUUUUAGGAGUGGGCUUUUCUGUCCAGAAGGGGGUGUAGUAGGUUAACAAGUAGCAUAAUGGAAAAAGCAGAAGUAAGAACUUGACCUUCAUACCACUGGUUUCUUGAAUAAUAAGAAAAUAAUUACAUUAUCUCUUGUAAACUUUAUUGAGCUCCUUAAUGGGCUUUGUCACUUUUAUUCUGUGAAACACAUUUAAAAAUAAACUCAAAACUCAUCUUUUUGCAUCAGUUUUCUGCCCUUAAUACUAAACUACAGUCAUCCAACGUAUACUGCAUUUUUGCAUGUGUGUUGACAACUCUCCCUUCUCUAUCUUUUUGUAUGUUGCUAUCAUUGUUGUAUUUUGUACGCAUUUUGGUUUAUUUAAUUUUUUUGGUUUCGUCUCAUGAAAAACUUUAUAUACACGUGUUCAUAGUUUUUGUUUUUUAAAUUUACUUUGUAUGUACUUUGUCUGUAUCAUGUAAUGGUAUGGUGUUUAAUUUGAGCUAAAAAUAAAGAUGAGAUUACGUGG